rnacentral:rRNA from 1 species
GAUGAACGCUAGCGGCAGGCCUAAUACAUGCAAGUCGAACGGUGUAGCAAUACACAGUGGCGCACGGGUGCGUAACACGUAUGCAACCUACCUAUUAUUGGGGGAUAGCCUUUGGAAACGGAGAUUAAUACCGCAUAAUACGAUUGACUGGCAUCAGUUGAUUGUUAAAGCUUCGGCGAUAAUAGAUGGGCAUGCGUCCAAUUAGUUAGUUGGCGAGGUAAUGGCUCACCAAGACGAUGAUUGGUAGGGGAUCUGAGAGGAUAAUCCCCCACACUGGCACUGAGAUACGGGCCAGACUCCUAUGGGAGGCAGCAGUAGGGAAUAUUGGGCAAUGGGCGGAAGCCUGACCCAGCCAUGCCGCGUGCAGGAUGAAGGCGUUAUGCGUUGUAAACUGCUUUUUUAUAGGAAGAAGGAGGCCUUGCGAGGCUUGGUGACGGUACUAUAAGAAUAAGCACCGGCUAACUCCGUGCCAGCAGCCGCCGUAAAAC